rnacentral:rRNA from 1 species
AUUGAACGCUGGCGGCAGGCCUAACACAUGCAAGUCGAACGGUAACAGGAAGAAGCUUGCUUCUUUGCUGACGAGUGGCGGACGGGUGAGUAAUGUCUGGGAAACUGCCUGAUGGAGGGGGAUAACUACUGGAAACGGUAGCUAAUACCGCAUAACAUCGCAAGACCAAAGAGGGGGACCUUCGGGCCUCUUGCCAUCGGAUGUGCCCAGAUGGGAUUAGCUAGUAGGUGGGGUAACGGCUCACCUAGGCGACGAUCCCUAGCUGGUCUGAGAGGAUGACCAGCCACACGGGAACUGAGACACGGUCCAGACUCCUACGGGAGGCAGCAGUGGGGAAUAUUGCACAAUGGGCGCAAGCCUGAUGCAGCCAUGCCGCGUGUAUGAAGAAGGCCUUCGGGUUGUAAAGUACUUUCAGCGGGGAGGAAGGGAGUAAAGUUAAUACCUUUGCUCAUUGACGUUACCCGCAGAAGAAGCACCGGCUAACUCCGUG